rnacentral:rRNA from 1 species
UACGUAGGGUGCAAGCGUUAAUCGGAAUUACUGGGCGUAAAGAGCGUGUAGGCGGCUUCACAGGUCUGCUGUGAAAACUCGAGGCUCAACCUCGAGCUGUCGGUGGAAACCGUGGGGCUAGAGUCCGGAAGAGGAGAGUGGAAUUCCCGGUGUAGCGGUGAAAUGCGCAGAUAUCGGGAAGAACACCCGUGGCGAAGGCGGCUCUCUGGGACGGUACUGACGCUGAGACGCGAAAGCGUGGGGAGCAAACAGGG